rnacentral:lncRNA from 1 species
AUGAUACAUGGUCUCAGCGUAGUCAGCAUGAGCUUCUCCCAAAACUCGCCUCUUUAUCUUUCACGCUGCCCAAGAAAUUAUGAAGCACAUGAAAAGCCAACAAGGUCUCCAUGUCAGUAAUUAUAUGUUCAGUUCAAACAACAAAGUAACACGCACAAGUAUUAGUAAAAAGGAAAGCAGAGAGGCAAUUCUGUGACAUGUUCAGUAUGCAUACCUAGAAGAAUAAUAUAUUUAUCACACAAUUAAACAUUUGAAAUUUU